GACGAACGCUGGCGGCGUGCUUAACACAUGCAAGUCGAGCGGUAAGGCCCUUUCGGGGGUACACGAGCGGCGAACGGGUGAGUAACACGUGGGUGACCUGCCCUCAGCUCUGGGAUAAGCCUGGGAAACCGGGUCUAAUACUGGAUAUGACUCCAUGACGCAUGUUGUGGGGUGGAAAGCCUUGUGCGGCUGAGGAUGGGCCCGCGGCCUAUCAGCUUGUUGGUGGGGUGAGGCCUACCAAGGCGACGACGGGUAGCCGGCCUGAGAGGGCGACCGGCCACACUGGGACUGAGACACGGCCCAGACUCCUACGGGAGGCAGCAGGUGGGGAAUCUUGCGCAAUGGGCGAAAGCCUGACGCAGCGACGCCGCGUGAGGGAUGACGGCCUGGUUGUAAC
rnacentral:rRNA from 1 species